GUAGGUAUAGUUCAAAAAGAACAUUAGAUUGUGAUUCUAAAAAUAAAGGUUAAAGUCCUUUUAUCCACC
rnacentral:tRNA from 2 species